CUCUCUCUCUCUCUCUCUCUCUCUCUCUCUCUCUCUCUCCCUGGUAAAAGCCUUGUGACUAGUGGGACCCUUUAUCCUUUGCACUCAAUAAUUCUGAGACAGGAAGCUGUCAGCGGUGAGACUGCUAGACAAUUUAUCAGAGCUGCCCGUCUCACACUGCAGGAGUGCUGAACAGCCAGGGAUGUCUCACGUGUUGCAGUUUGAUGAACAAACCAAGAAGGUGAAGGACGCCAACAUGCAGGAUGAAGACACAUUCGAGAUCUACGACCCUCGGAACCCCGUCAACAAGCGCAGACGGGAGGAGAGCAAGAAACUUCUGAAGGAGAAGAAGGCCAAGCGGUGAUCAUCUCGUCCUCCUCUUCACUGUCCUCCUCCUCCUCCUUGCUGAUUAUCACCACCAUGUGAGGAUCCACAAAGGACAUUUGUGAUCAACCUCGCUGUAAAUUUAGUUCACUAAAGAGAACAGAGUUGUGUUCAUGACCUAAAUAAUAAAUGUUUGUUUUGUACUGAAAA